rnacentral:rRNA from 1 species
CCCUUAGAUGUUCUGGGCCGCACGCGCGCUACACUGUUCGACGCAGCGAGUCUUAACCUUGACCGAAAGGUUUGGGUAAUCUUCAGCAAAGUCGAACGUGAUGGGGAUCGAUCAUUGCAAUUAUUGAUCGUGAACGAGGAAUUCCUAGUAAGUGCAAGUCAUCAGCUUGCGCUGAUUACGUCCCUGCCCUUUGUACACACCGCCCGUCGCUACUACCGAUUGAAUGGUUUAGUGAGAUCUCUGGAUUGACGCUGGCUAGGGGGCGACCCUUGGCCGGACUGUUGAGAAACUGCUCAAACUUGAUCAUUUAGAGGAAGUAAAAGUCGUAACG